UGCAGAUCUGCUUGUAUGGGAGCUGCUUUCAUUUCACAUUUUUGGUUGCUUAUUAUAAAUUAUAUGUUAGAUAUUGCUAGCCUUCUGGAGAGCUCAGAAGACCUGGCUAUUUCCUCAGGCAUUUAUGGGCAGGUUUACAAAGAUUUAGAACUAUUCCACAGCAGCUUUUCUGUUUCAUAAACCAGCCUCAGAAAUUUCAGUCCAGAUUGCAGCAGGUUAGUAAUGUGACCAGGCUGUUCGCUCUGGAUCAUGACAUCCCCCCGCCCGCAAAACCUGACUGGGUUUCCCCUCUUUCUGACCUUCCCAUCCAAGCAAGGAAAGCAAAACCUCAAAUGAUGUAAAUGAUGUACUUAUGGGACCGCCUGCUGUUACCGCAUGCCUCCCACCGACCCGUACGCUCUCACAGAGAGGGUCUUCUCAGGGUGCCGUCAGCCAAACAAUGUCGGCUGGCGGCCCCCAGGGGAAGGGCCUUCUCUGUGGGAGCUCCUACGCUCUGGAAUGAACUUCCUCCUGGACUACGUCAAGUGCCUGAUCUUCGGACCUUUCGCCGUGAGCUGAAAACGCAUUUAUUUAUUCAAGCGGGACUGGCAUAAUAUUUAUAAUAUUUUUAAUAUUUUUAAUAUUUUAAAAUUUUAACUGGGGUUUUAUUAUUAUAUGGUUUAUAAUUUUAAAUUUUAAACUUUUAAAUGUGGCCAUUUUUUUUCUAAAUAUGCUCGGUUUUAAAUUGUCGUUUUAAUUGUACAUUUCUGU